rnacentral:rRNA from 1 species
GAUGAACGCUGGCGGCGUGCCUAAUACAUGCAAGUCGAGCGAACGGACGAGAAGCUUGCUUCUCUGAUGUUAGCGGCGGACGGGUGAGUAACACGUGGAUAACCUACCUAUAAGACUGGGAUAACUUCGGGAAACCGGAGCUAAUACCGGAUAAUAUUUUGAACCGCAUGGUUCAAAAGUGAAAGACGGUCUUGCUGUCACUUAUAGAUGGAUCCGCGCUGCAUUAGCUAGUUGGUAAGGUAACGGCUUACCAAGGCAACGAUGCAUAGCCGACCUGAGAGGGUGAUCGGCCACACUGGAACUGGGACGCGGACCAGAGUCCUGCGGGAGGCAGCAGUAGGGAAUCUUCCGCAAUGGGCGAAAGCCUGACGGAGCAACGCCGCGUGAGUGAUGAAGGUCUUCGGAUCGUAAAACUCUGUUAUUAGGGAAGAACAUAUGUGUAAGUAACUGUGCACAUCUUGACGGUACCUAAUCAGAAAGCCACGGCUAACUACGUG